GACAGAGGGUGCAAACGUUGUUCGGAAUUACUGGGCGUAAAGCGCGUGUAGGCGGCUCGGAAAGUCGGAUGUGAAAGCCCUGGGCUUAACCUAGGAAGUGCAUUCGAAACUCCCGUAGCUUGAGUUCUGGAGAGGAAGGCGGAAUUCUCGGUGUAGAGGUGAAAUUCGUAGAUAUCGAGAGGAACACCGGUGGCGAAGGCGGCCUUCUGGACAGUGACUGACGCUGAGACGCGAAAGCGUGGGGAGCAAACAGG
rnacentral:rRNA from 1 species